GACGAACGCUGGCGGCGUGCUUAACACAUGCAAGUCGAACGGAAAGGCCCUGCUUUUGUGGGGUGCUCGAGUGGCGAACGGGUGAGUAACACGUGAGUAACCUGCCCUUGACUUUGGGAUAACUUCAGGAAACUGGGGCUAAUACCGGAUAGGAGCUCCUGCUGCAUGGUGGGGGUUGGAAAGUUUCGGCGGUUGGGGAUGGACUCGCGGCUUAUCAGCUUGUUGGUGGGGUAGUGGCUUACCAAGGCUUUGACGGGUAGCCGGCCUGAGAGGGUGACCGGCCACAUUGGGACUGAGAUACGGCCCAGACUCCUACGGGAGGCAGCAGUGGGGAAUAUUGCACAAUGGGCGGAAGCCUGAUGCAGCAACGCCGCGUGCGGGAUGACGGCCUUCGGGUUGUAAACCGCUUUCGCCUGUGACGAAGCGUGAGUGACGGUAAUGGGUAAAGAAGCACCGGCUAACUACGUGCCAGCAGCCGCGGUGAUACGUAGGGUGCGAGCGUUGUCCGGAUUUAUUGGGCGUAAAGGGCUCGUAGGUGGUUGAUCGCGUCGGAAGUGUAAUCUUGGGGCUUAACCCUGAGCGUGCUUUCGAUACGGGUUGACUUGAGGAAGAUAGGGGAGAAUGGAAUUCCUGGUGGAGCGGUGGAAUGCGCAGAUAUCAGGAGGAACACCAGUGGCGAAGGCGGUUCUCUGGGCCUUUCCUGACGCUGAGGAGCGAAAGCGUGGGGAGCGAACAGGCUUAGAUACCUUGGUAGUCCACGCUGUAAACGGUGGGUACUAGGUGUGGGGUCCAUUCCACGGGUUCCGUGCCGUAGCUAACGCUUUAAGUACCCCGCCUGGGGAGUACGGCCGCAAGGCUAAAACUCAAAGGAAUUGACGGGGCCCCGCACAAGCGGCGGAGCAUGCGGAUCAAUUCGAUGCAACGCGUAGAACCUUACCUGGGUUUGACAUGGAUCGGGAGUGCUCAGAGAUGGGUGUGCCUCUUUUGGGGUCGGUUCACAGGUGGUGCAUGCCUGUCGUCAGCUCGUGUCGUGAGAUGUUGGGUUAAGUCCCGCAACGAGCGCAACCCUUGUUCACUGUUGCCAGCACGUUAUGGUGGGGACUCAGUGGAGACCGCCGGGGUCAACUCGGAGGAAGGUGGGGAUGACGUCAAGUCCUCAUGCCCCUUAUGUCCAGGGCUUCACGCAUGCUACAAUGGCUGGUACAGAGAGUGGCGAGCCUGUGAGGGUGAGCGAAUCUCGGAAAGCCGGUCUCAGUUCGGAUUGGGGUCUGCAACUCGACCUCAUGAAGUCGGAGUCGCUAGUAAUCGCAGAUCAGCAACGCUGCGGUGAAUACGUUCCCGGG
rnacentral:rRNA from 1 species